UGCAUUUUUCUGCUAGAAACUGUUAACAUGGCUCACGGAAAUUGUUAAGUCAUCAUUGGUCAUUUUUAGAGGAUUUAUGUGGUGUGGGGACUGAUUUUCGUAUAUUUUUAUCAGAAGGAUAUUAUUUAAAUCUAGGGUUCUACCUUGAUUGGAACAGAGCAGACAGCUCAGGCUUGUGGUUGAGGUGCCACAUCAGAUAAGAUGUGUACCCUUUUUUAUUGCCAUGUCACCUAAAUUAUGACAUAACUUUCCAUAUCCGCAAAACUGAUGACUUAGACAAUCCAUGAGCCACAUCAGCUAUUUCUGUGCUCUGGUUGACGGCAAGCUAACAUUGACAAGAUUUUAUAAGCUCACAAACCACACAAUUGAAUGUUUAGGGGCAAAAGUUGAAAUCAGCCAAUAAGUUAGAUGACCAAAGUCGUAGUUUCACCUGCCAUUUUCUGUUCUCUCUUCUUCGUUUUUCCUUUUUUUUUUUUUUGGGUUAAUGCAUGAUUGGUCUGAUGAAAGCACUCUAACCAAGCCAAAAAUAAAAUGUUUGUGGUCAAAAUAGAAGUAUUUUGGUCAAGAAUCUUCAAAGUCACAUAUAGAAUCUUGUAAUUAAUUUGCAAAGUGAACUUAGUGUGUUCUUGAACCUCGUCUUUUGGAAUGCAGUUUCUGGGCAAUCCAUUUAGAUAUCAUUGCAAAAGUCACUAUGGUCACUGCAUUCCAGUGCAGUGGAAUCUUAAUAAGAAGGAAUAUGUCUAAUUGAAAGUAUUAUUCUAAAUUAAAGGCCUGUGAAAAUCUGAUGGUUGGUACACAAUCAGGCGACGUUUUUGUUAGAUGCUCAACUCCAUGCAUUGUAACAUUUCAUUGGUGAACUCAUUUCAUCUUUUGUAUGUGAAAAGGAAGGAGCAACAGAGGAAGAGAUUGAUCGAUUACCAAAGUACAAAUUCCGAAAGAUAGGUGACGUUGAGAAACUUAAUGGGGACACUCAAGAUUCUUUUGGAGGAAUGAUGACUGAAUGCGACACAGAUACUCCCACAGAACGGGUUCUGUCCCAAGAGGAUGCUGAAUGUUGCAUUUGCCUUUCUGCAUAUGAUGAUGGGACUGAACUGCGUGAACUUCCUUGCAAUCACCAUUUCCACUGCACCUGCAUAGACAAGUGGUUACACAUCAAUGCGACAUGCCCUCUCUGCAAAUUCAACAUUUUGAAGUCUGUGGACCAAAGUGGUAGUGAAGAGGUAUAGAAAAUGGAAGUUUCCCAACCAAGUCCUGAUCAGAGCCUCCUUUCUAGCAUCUGUGUAUCUCAUGCGCACUUGACAUAUGCUGUCAGCAGCCUGGACCUUCCAUGCUUGCUCUUGAGUGACUUCCAGUGGGGGAGUUCUAACAGCAAAAUGUAUAUCAAGAGGGAAAGAAAUUUCCCACAAACUGGGUUGUAGGAGUCUUAUACAGUAUUUCUAUUCUUGUUUUCUAAUCCUCUUCUUUAACAUAUAUGGGGUUUAUAAAUCAUGCAUAAAGAGUACUCUAGCAUGUUUCCCCGAUAAAUUGUAAAAUUAGUAGUUCUUUUGAUUUGUCAUGUUAAAUAUUAUGGAACUUAAUCUUAUAAUGCUGAAAAAAAGAAGGAAACCCCCUUUAUUUGUA